rnacentral:rRNA from 1 species
AGUGAACGCUGGCGGUAGGCCUAACACAUGCAAGUCGAACGGCAGCACAGUAAGAGCUUGCUCUUACGGGUGGCGAGUGGCGGACGGGUGAGGAAUACAUCGGAAUCUACUUUUUCGUGGGGGAUAACGUAGGGAAACUUACGCUAAUACCGCAUACGACCUACGGGUGAAAGCAGGGGAUCUUCGGACCUUGCGCGAUUGAAUGAGCCGAUGUCGGAUUAGCUAGUUGGCGGGGUAAAGGCCCACCAAGGCGACGAUCCGUAGCUGGUCUGAGAGGAUGAACAGCCACACUGGAACAGAGACACGGUCCAGACUCCUACGGGAGGCAGCAGUGGGGAAUAUUGGACAAUGGGCGCAAGCCUGAUCCAGCCAUACCGCGUGGGUGAAGAAGGCCUUCGGGUUGUAAAGCCCUUUUGUUGGGAAAGAAAAGCAGCAGGUUAAUACCCCGCUGUUCUGACGGUACCCAAAGAAUAAGCACCGGCUAACUUCGUG